GGAAAACAGAAAACAAUAACAUGUAUUCUUGAAAUUUUCUUGCCCAACAUAUUAUUCACAAAUUGUUCAUUUUCUUAUGCUGAAGUUGAAAUUCAAGAUUUUAUAAUUUUUAAUAUGAAGUUGAUGAUCUUGUUCUUUUGCCCGUUUAUGGAUAAAAAAAUAUUCCCAUAACUUUUUUGGAAAGGAGUUAGAUGAUCUAUCUUAAUUAAAAUUACCAGCAGAUUUCUCAACCCUUUUGCAGAAAAUUCUUACUGAAUUAGUUUCUCUGAUUU
rnacentral:misc_RNA from 1 species